ensembl:lncRNA
UUCUUUUUUUUUUUGGGGGGGGGGGGAAGGAGGGGGUGAGCAUGGUUAAGGCAGUUCUGACUUUUAUCAUAUGGGCUGUAGACUUGUAUCCUGAAUUUCUUCAACAUUGUGAAUGAGAGUCCCCUGAGUUGUCACAUUAGAGAAUUUUGUUAAUUAUUUUUAGACUUUGAUUAACUUAUCUCUUUGAAAAGUUCCUUAGCUCUUGAAACCACUUAGCUCGGUUAUUCCCAAUUACUCCUAUUACCAACUUGCUCCAGAACUUAAUUCCUCGGAAGGCUACAAAUCUUCUAAUUACAGCCUAAACGUAUUUCAUUAUACACACUUAUUCUUGUGUCACCAUUGACCUUCAGUAUAAACAGGUUUCAUCUGACCCUGAGGUAUUUGUAGGCAAUUUUUAAGCUGUGUUGAACGAGGGCAUGGAAGAAUGAUAUUCUGCAAAUCCUUUUCAAUAACCUGUUAUUGCAGGGGGAUUUGAUGGCUUGUGGUCCUUCACGCUUGUAUUGUGGGCAGUGAUUUCACCUGUUAAUGCCUUCAUUGAGUUGAUGAAUUCAUUAAACCUGGUAGUUUCAUAUGCCUUUCCUACAGUUCCAGGAAAAGAAAUACCAUUGUAUAUUACAGAACGGUUCAGGUUGGAAGGGACCUCAGGAAGUGUAUCUCUAGGUUGACUUCCUACUCAAAACAAGGUCAGCUGUGAGAUCAAAUGAGAUUGCUUAGGGCUUUAAUCAGUCAGGUCUUGAAAACACCCAGGGAUGCAGAAGCAUAGUCUGUGCAACCUGCUCCAAUGUUUCUGUCCUCUUGUGGGUGUGGGGAGGCUGCUGCUUGGUCCCUCUGAAGCUGUAUCUUCUUCAGGCUGAAUGCUGACUUCAUUCUAGUUUGUUGAUGUCUUCAUUAUAUUGGGAAAAUGAAAAAUUUGUGGUAUACUAAAUGUGAUCUAACAAGUAAAGGGGGCUGGUCUAGCCUGUGGUACUGUUAGAGCAUACUGCUGGCUUGUGUUCAGCUCACAGUUUGCUAAAACCCUCUGAUCUUCUCCCACCGAACUGCUCCUCGGCCAGUCAGUUCCCAGCCUGUAUCACUGCAAGGGUUUUUUCCCUUCUAAAGUGCUGGACUUCACAUUUGUCCUUGUUGAACUUCAUGAGAUUCCUGUCAGCACAUUCCUCUAGCCUGUCUAGAUCCAUCAGAAUGGUAACCCUGCCAUUAAGCAUACCAAUUUAUUUCUCCUCCAGUUUGAUGUCAUCUGUGACCUUUGUGAAUAAGUACUACAUUGCCUCCUUCAGGAAACUGAUAAAGAUUUUAAGCAGGACAUACCCGCAAGUAGAACCCUUUGGCACUUCAGUUGUUAUUGGCCUGCUGUCAGAAUAUGCCCUAUUAACCACAACCCUCCAAAUCUGACCUUCCCAUGAGGUUAUUACUUAUUUGAUUAUUCAUCCAUCCGGAAGGUAAUGUUCUAAUUUGGAUACAGAAAGAUGUUAGGAGAGAAUGUCAAUAUGCUUGCUGAAGUCAAGGUAAAUGAGAUCUUUUGCUCUUCCUUCCUAUACACAUCCAUGCAUUUACUCAUGGAAGACAAACUGUUUGGUCAGGCAUGGCUUGCCUUUCUUCAGUUCAUAGUGAUUGCCUCCAUUCAGCACCUUCUCUGUGCACUCAGAAAUGUGUUCCAGGAACCUUUGCUCCAUGACUUCCCUGGAGUCUGAAGUGAGACUAACCAUAUUUUUGACACCUUUUUAAAAUGUGUUCAAUUUUUGCCUUUUUUUUUUUCUCUCCAGUCAUUGAGGAUCUCUGCCAGUCUCUAUAAACUCAAAAAAUGUUAGGCAGCCUUACAAGGGCCUUGCAAUCAUUUCUUGGCAUCCUAGGGCACAGCGUUUUGGGUUCCAUAGAACUCUCUAAGUGUCUCGUUCCUUCAAGCAAUUCCUGACUCAGUCUUUAGCCACUGUUGCUGAUUUGUUUUCUGUUUAGACUCUUUUUCUAAGCACAGAAGCUUCAGAGAUGUUUCUGAUGAAGACAGGAUCAGAAAUCAUUAAGUAUCUCAGACUUAUCUGUGUCUCUAGUUAUUAAAUUUUCUAUCCCAUUCAGCAGUGGUCACAAAUUUUCCUUGUUAAGUGCUUCUAAUGUUAAUGCAUUUGUGACCUUUUCGGUUGGGUUUUUUGUUGUUGUUGUUUUUUACUUAAUCUUACAACCUCUAAUUAACAUGAAGUAUAUAUUUAGAAAGACACUCUAAAUUGGUGUCCUUUUCUAUUCAGGUUUUAAAGGAAGACAAAACUAGAGAUGUAGUAAAUGUUUCAGUGUGGAAAAGAUGAAUUCUGCUCUGUCUUUUGCAUAUUCCUGUUCUAUAACUAGUGAAAUAGAGACAUGAUCUUAAAGUUUUUCUGUACAAUUUAACUUGUGAGCAGAUGUUCAGAAAGACUUCAGAAAAUAUAAUUAUUAAGACAAGUUAAAUCUUAGAUUUUCUUUCUUCCAUCAAAAUCUUCAAAAAAAGAUUUUAUUUGUGCCUAUUCUAUAAAAAGAAAAAGAGGAAAGAGAAUUAAGGGUUUAGCUUGAAUUAGCUGGAAACUUGACUUUCACAAAUAAAUCCAGCCUUGGUCUAGUUUAAAGAAAGGAUCAAGUCCUACAUGGUUGUGAGAAAUCAGGAAACAGAAAUGUGUAAACAACUGCAUAAAAGUUUUAAAGAAAAAAAAAUAACAUUUCUGCAAAAUUGGCAUAGUUAUAGUGAAAUGUUAAGUGAAAAUCCUAAAUUGCUUCAUCUUUUGUUUUUUGUAGUGAUAUGUGUAUCCUAGAGGUUUUUUUUGAAUGUCUCCAAAAACACAAUUCAGUUCUUCUAAAGUAGUGGUGAUGAGUUCUAAUUGCUUUUAAAUUACUUGUUUAGCCCAAGAAAGUUGGGGCUCACCAACAUAUGGAACAGAAAUAAAAUGUUAACCACAUGUCUGAGAUGCUGGACGACUACCUGGGAGAAAUGAAAAACUGCAGAGCUCAACUAAUAGCGAUUGUCAACAGAGGCAGCGGUUUCCAGGCUCUGUUUUUUGUUGUUGUUGUUGUUGUUUGCUUGUUUGUUUGCUUGCUUGCUUUUGACAUCUUUGAUUUUUCUUGAGGUUCUGGGGUCUGCGACUUCCUGGGAAUCCUCCAAGGAUCAGGAAGGUGGCAGCUGCUGCUAGAUUCUCUAUGACUCCCUUGUUCUGCCUUUGAUGCAUCCUGUAACAAGUCCAGUGCAAUCCCCAAAUGCUCUUCUCAUCCAGCCUGUAUUGUGUUCCACCACCAGACAGCAACCCUCAUUUGUGUGAAAGGUGAUCCUGAGAGCUACUCCCCAACCCUGAUGGGCUUCAAGCCUAGGCAGUGGGGCUGAUCUUUACUGGGACAACCCUGGAAAGGUCUUUGUUCAUUAUGAGUCCUUAAUUUGAGUUCCUGCCUGCCACUGUGCUCCUGGUGCUCCUCUGAAGAGCCAGUGAGUAGCCUGGCAGGGAAGUACUUUGGGUUUCCUCCUACUGUAGUCUGUGAGCCCCCGUACAGGUGCACAUGAACUUAUAUCACAUAACAUUAUGGGAAGACUGCUGUAGCCCCUCUGAUCCCGAAACUGUUAACUCAUUAACAAAGCUGAGUGCACUGGUUAAUAUAUCAGAUGGUCAGCUGCCUUCCAGAGGAACCUAAACAGGAUGGGUUGACAGGAACCUCAUGAAGUCCAACAAGGAGAAAUUCAAAGACCUGCUCCUAGAGAGGAAUAGCUCCAGGUACCAAUAUGCACUGGGAGCAAUCCAGCUGGAAAGCAACUCUGCAGAAAAGGCACUGAAUGUCCUCUUGGACACCAAGUUGAAUGUGGGCCAGCCACGUGUGCUUGCUGCAAAGGAGGAUAACAGCAUUCUUGGCUGCAUUAGGCAGUGUUGCCUGAUGAUGCCAUGCUGGGUCCAUUUUUAUGCUCUGGAGUACAAGAAAGACAUAGACACACUAGAGACUGUCUCAUUGACUGGCCACAGAAAUGAUUAGAUUACUGGAGCACCUAGAAUCAUAGUGUCAUAGAAUCGCUAAGGUUGGAAAAGACCCACAGAAUCAUCCAGUCCAACCAUUCGCCUAUCACCAAUGGUUCUCAUUAUACUACGUCCCUCAACACAGCAUGCAAACGCUCCUUGAACACCUCCAGGGUCGGUGACUCCACCACCUCUCUGGGCAGCUCUCUGUGUGGGGAGACUGAGAGCUGUGUCCAUUCAGACUAGAGAAGACUCAGAGUGAAUCUCAAAACCUUCCUAAGCGGAGGCUUGGGCAAGCAGCUCUGGGUAUCACUGUCUGAGCCAGAGGAGUUGGACCAGAUGGACCCAGAGGUCCCAGCCAAGCACAACCACUCUGUGAUAGGGAAAGUGAAAAAGAGAGAGUUCUGACUUGUUCUGGACCUGUCACUUUUAGGUUUCAAACAACUAUACAUAAUGAAACAUACACAAUAGAAAUUCUUUCCCUAUGAGGUUAUCUAAUGGAUAUCAUCUUCUAAUUUAGAAUCUUCUAGUGAAGAUGUCUCCAUUUUUGCAAAUUAAAAAUAGCUGAGACAGGCAGCUUAAUAGGAGGUCUAGCAAAAGUGAAGCUAAUGAUAGAAGUAGGCUUCUUGUUCUUCUGUUAAGGAAUAGCAAAUUAGUGCUCAGAAUUAGAACCAUCAUCUCCUUAAUUACCAUCACUCAAGGAACAUUGGUAGGACAAUGCUUAGUAUGUAAUAAUAAGAGGUCUCUGCUUUGUGUUAAACUGAAGAGCAGGGGUUAAACCUUUCUUUUUCAGUAAGAGGGAUUUGCAGUGAGACUGUAUGGCAGAGAGUACCUGGCUCUACAUCAUACCGUGUAAUAUUUCUUACUGUAACUAUUUGGUGUAAUAUUUCUUGUUUUCUUUUUUCCUAUUAAAAUAUUAGGAAAAUCCAAAAAUAGGCUAUAGAAAGUUUUUUAAAGAAAGCAAAAAUAUGGAUAUAAUUGAGUUAGAAUGCAACUUUGAUCAUACCUCCCCUAAACUUAGCUGACCUGAUGCUCUUACUGUGAAUUUUCUCUGAUAUUUUCCACAUAUAAAGGAUGAUUGUCACUCAAGAGAAUGUAACUGUGCUAGCUGAUAUUGGUGUUUCCUGUCAACCUGCUGACAUACCUUGACAAUGUGUCUCUCUGACUGGUUGUCAAACCCCAGUGUGAGCAUAAAGGCAGGUGAAAAGUAGAGUAUACCUGACACUAGCUCAGAUAGUAGUAACCAAACCUGGGGAAGAAAAGUUUGCUUAUUAUGCUAUUACCUGUCUGAAUCUUUAAAAUGCUGUUUAGAGUACAUUAAAGUAGGAUAGGGAAGCCAUCUGCUGACAGUGGUACGAUAUGUGAUACAGUAGGACCCAAAAACAAAGCAGUCCAAUGCUCUCAGCAAAAUCUCUGCGUUAGCUGCAUGUAUUUCCAGUGUAGAAUAGAAAUGAAUGUCCUGGGCAACAUCAGGAGCAGAGCCUGCCUUAGGCACAAGUUUAACAAAGUCUGAUGAGCAUUGACUUGGCAACAGAGAAGCUGGACUGAUGUCUCUAUUCCUGGCAGCAGGACCUGAGGAACAGGCAGCUCCUAGCAUGCUCUCCAAACUGCCUCCAGAGAAACUUGGAACUGUACAAAUCAUAAAGCCAGGCAUUCCCUGAAGUGCCCAUUUAAUGAAAAAUAAAUGUUCUUUUCCUCCAGGACUUGUUCUCAAUGAGCAUGCUUUAGUGCUAGUUGUUACUUGCAGGAACAGUACCAUAUAUCUGUUUAUCUCAUAAAACUUGAAAUAGACUGUGCUGGUCACAGAGUAAUCUGAAAGUCUGGAAUAUCUUAUUUUCUAUUAGAUGCCAAUGUCAGUUUAAGUGCAUCACUUCUCUAUUUUGCUUUGGACUGCACAAUCACAGCAUCACCUGAGGACUUAUGCAAGACUAAAUUUUAAAAGUCUAUAUUUAUUAGGAUUUUUUUUUUGUCUUGUUCCUCCAGAUGCUUUGUCGAAUGCACUGAAUAUGAAAGUUGUUAGCAUAUUUGAAACUUUCCUUUGUAUGUGAAUUUAAACAAUGAGUUCAUUUAUUAUGAGCUAUGUUAUGCUGUAAGAUAAAUAACCCAAAAUGCAAUAUAAAGUCAACAUCUAUAUGUGAUUAAUUGAAGGAGUUAUGGAGGAGAAAACUCAGCUGUGCUUGACAAAUUCAAAAAGUAUUCUCCAUUUAUCUAAUGCUGAGUAAUACAUAAUGAAUAAGAUCAAAUUAUAAUGCCACGGUUCAUUGGGAGCGGUUGAUGAAGAUUGCUAUUCAUUCGCCUAAGGCCCAUCAGUUAAUAUUUACAUUGUUGGAGAAAUGCAUGACUUAAAGCCUAGCUGUGCUUCCCUUUUCAAAGAAGACGUAGAGCAUAGUUAUAGAUAUCUUAGCACAGGUACCUGGCCUUAGAAUAUGCAGAAACAUGUUACCUGCAUAAUAACUAGAUCACUUAAGGAUACACUUUUGCCUUCUUUAGCUAAUUAUAUUGGUAGAAAGACUCCUGUUGCAAAGAUUGAUGAUUAUUUGAAGAUGAUUAUACCUACUGUAGGCUUUCCUUUUCCCUAAUGGAAACAGAUUAGUGUAAACACUGUGACUGCAUGAGUACAGUCAAAGCUGAAUUAUUUUUAUGUCCUUGGGCCACGUGUCCAUGUGCACUGUCAAAUGAGCAAUGGAAAGACCUGCUCUUGAGGGCAUGUUGGACAGUAUUAGAAAUAGGCUGACUCAUCAGCUACAGGAGGUGUUAGAAAUUAUCCUGCCCUGAGAAUGCGGGCAUGACUACCUCUGCCCCGUGGAAAAAUAGGUGCCCAUGCUGCUCUACAUUCUUCAUUACUCUAGCGACACAAAAAUUAAUGUAGUAUUUUUGCAGUGAAAAGCACUUCACUCCUUAUUUGUUUGGCUAUGGGAUAACAACAGAACAGAAGAAUAGCAAACCUAUCUGUCUUGUUCCAUCCACACUGUGUUUCCUCACGUGGAUUGUACUAACCUAGUAUGACGCUGUUUUAAAACUUCUGUAUGGGCAAGCGAUCCUGUUGUCAAUAGUUUGCUGAGCUCAAGUCUUUUACUUUCUAACUCUAAUGAUUUUCCAUUGCAAUUUGGCCAUAAAUUGGCAUUAAAAAGGAAUGAAUGUUGGCAGUAUUUCACUCACUGUCUGGCUGAAAAAUUACUUUUACUGUAGCAAUUAAUGGUACAUCUAGAGCUAUGAGACCAGAAAUGUUCAUCCCUCUGCGCUCUCUCAGUGUAUGAUUUGUUACCCAGCUUCUGUACAUCACCUUUGCAUACUUUCUGCAUUUUUCUCAGUCAUUUACAGUUAUCCAGAUUUACAUUAAUGGAUUUAAAUGUUCUUUUGAAACCAUGCAGAAUUGGAGUUGAGGAUUAAUUUUUGCACUUGAAAAAUAUUUUAGGGUUCUACAAAGCAGCACAAAAUAUUGACUACCUGGAACACUGUGCCAAGACAUUAAAGAUAUUUUCUUUAAUGCUAGGUAACUGUUACUGUAUGUAAAUAAGAAGGGUAUAUUGUAUGAUAUAAUAAAUAAUAAAAAUGAAUGUUACACUUGCACAUAGGCGUCCAUAUGAAAACCAGUUUUAAAAUUCUACAAACAUAUUGUUGAAAUCAAAAUUUCUGACAUAAGAAUAAAAGUUGUUUCAGAAAUAAUGUUUGUCAUAGUAAUUGUAUUCAGUUAUAAUGUUAUUUUUACUCUAUUUUGAUUCUCAUCUUUUGAAUUCUCUCUUACAGCGGCUAUGAGAAUCCCAAUAGUAUAUAUCAUUCUUACCUUUCUCUAUAUAAUAAGAAUUAUUUGCAUGCUGAUAUUCUUAAAUUUCAGGCUAAAAUCAGUUGAAUGCAGUAGGGUAUGCUGAAACAGUAAUGAUAAAUUCUCUUAUUCCUGUAGUAAAAUAGAGUUUGAUUGUGGAAACAAAAUCUAAGUGGCUUUUGCACUGCUUAGCUGGUCAGCUUGAAUGACAGGAGUGCUGGACUGUGUAUGCUGAACUAGGUUAGCUCAAAGUUCACACUUCUGUGAUGCAGCAGCAAGUGAAUAACUUCAUUUUCCCUAAAUAAAUCCUAUAUUGUGCUUGUCUCAACAUCCAUGCCUUUUCCGCUCUUUAAAAUUUAUGUUCUAAUGAAACACCUGAAGCUUCUUAUUUGUGCUGUGCUCAAAGCAUUGUGGAAGGGAAUGUUGACAAAUAGGAUGAACAAAUUUAAGAAAUACCAAAAUAUUUUACCUCUAUUUUUUUUUUCUAAAAAAAUCCCAAUAUUUAAAAUGACCACUAAUAAUAGGGGAAGCACUUCAACAAUUUCUUUUUAAACAUUUAAUUAAGGAGAGCUUAAACUAAAUGUUUAAGCAGAAUUUCAUAUUUUUUUCCCCAGAGAUACAUGGGAAAUUGAACAAACAUUCAUCUGCAUUCUUGAUAACCACUCUCUGCCGGUACCUUUCAAAAAGCUAGAAUAAACAAAAAGGAAUGAAAAUACUGAAUAUAUAUGUUUAUGUGUGCAUUGCUUACUGCUACAAAGUACUGUUCCCAAGAACUGGAAAGGAAUCUUGUUUUUUCUUUUUAACACCCCCUGGAACAGCUGAAUCAAGCUCACAGCAAAGUGUUCUGCUGAUAGGGUAAAUUAUUUUCUUCACGUGGUUAGGAUUCCAUUCUUUGGAAGCUUUUGCACCAAAACUUCACCUCUAAAUGCCUCUUACUUCCCUAUGGACUGGAC